rnacentral:sRNA from 1 species
AUAAAGAAGAAGGAACAAAA